UGGGGAAUAUUGCACAAUGGGCGCAAGCCUGAUGCAGCCAUGCCGCGUGUGUGAAGAAGGCCUUCGGGUUGUAAAGCACUUUCAGCGAGGAGGAAGGGUUCAGUGUUAAUAGCACUGUUCAUUGACGUUACUCGCAGAAGAAGCACCGGCUAACUCCGUGCCAGCAGCCGCGGUAAUACGGAGGGUGCAAGCGUUAAUCGGAAUUACUGGGCGUAAAGCGCACGCAGGCGGUUUGUUAAGUCAGAUGUGAAAUCCCCGCGCUUAACGUGGGAACUGCAUUUGAAACUGGCAAGCUAGAGUCUUGUAGAGGGGGGUAGAAUUCCAGGUGUAGCGGUGAAAUGCGUAGAGAUCUGGAGGAAUACCGGUGGCGAAGGCGGCCCCCUGGACAAAGACUGACGCUCAGGUGCGAAAGCGUGGGGAGCAAACA
rnacentral:rRNA from 3 species